GAUGAACGCUGGCGGCGUGCUUAACACAUGCAAGUCGAGCGAAGCACUUGAACGGAUUUCUUCGGAUUGAAGUUUUUGUGACUGAGCGGCGGACGGGUGAGUAACGCGUGGGUAACCUGCCUCAUACAGGGGGAUAACAGUUAGAAAUGGCUGCUAAUACCGCAUAAGCGCACAGGACCGCAUGGUCUGGUGUGAAAAACUCCGGUGGUAUGAGAUGGACCCGCGUCUGAUUAGCUAGUUGGAGGGUACGCCACCAAGGCGACGAUCAGUAGCCGGCCUGAGAGGGUGAACGGCACAUUGGGACUGAGACACGGGCCCAGGACUCCUACGGGAGGC
rnacentral:rRNA from 1 species